UGGGACCACAGAUGCACACUACCAUGCCCAGCUAAUUUUUAAAACUUUUUAAGAGAUGGGGGUCUCCGUAUGUUGCCCAGGCUGGUCUUGAACUUCUGGGCUCAAGCGAUCCUCCCACCUAGGCCUCCCAAAGCGCUGGGAUUACAGAUGGGACCCAUCGCACCCAGCCCGUUCUUUCCCUGCUCUUAUUUCUGCUGCUUUUUGCCCUUUUCCCCACUGAGUCCAGCCGUGGAACUGACGCCAGCUCUCUGAUUUUAUCUUGUGUUUAUUGGGAAAUGGUGGUGCCCAUCUCUGGGCCAGUCCAGACAGCUUCCCCCUAGGAAGUGAGCCGAGUUCCCACGGCGUGUCAGAGUUAAAAACAAGGACAAGAGACAGCGUGAGAGACAUAAGAGAGGGGGCACGGAGAAAGACAGAAAAGCAGAGAGAGGGACACACAGGUCCCCUGCUUCCUCUUCUGUUUGUUCAUUAAUCAGGCUGAUGUCAGGUGGCACAAGGGGCAUUGGACAUCAUUUCAUGGCUCAAGAUCAUUGUCCCUAAGUCUGUUUUCCCAGGCUGUCCCCUUAAGAGCUGGGCUGCCGCGGCCACACCCUGCAGUCCAUGUCACCCUCCAGCCAUUGCUCUCCUGUGGGUGUGCCUGGCAGAGCCUCCAGCUCUGUGCCUGCCCCCUGGAAUGCCCCUAAAGCCCUCCCAGCCCCUUACCCAGCCUUCAAGGCCACACCUGUGCCCCUCCUUCAUGCAGCCCCCAGAUGGGAUCAGGAGGCAGGGUGUGCCUCUCUGUCCCUCAAGGGCUCCCUGGUCAUCUCUGUGCAUGUCUAGAUGCCACUGAGAUGGACUGGCCUUGAUGGCCGGGACUCUAUGUCUUAGCAUCCAGCAUGGCUAGCUGAAGUCAGUGGCUGCAGAGUGUGGGAAUGAGUGAGUGAGUGAGUGAGUGAGUGAGUGAAUGAAUGAAUGAAUGAAUGGGGGAGAACUGAGUGACCCAAGGGAGGCCCAGACCUGGACAGGAGCUUCUGGUGCCUCUUGUCCCUCCUUUUUUUUUUUUUUUUAAGAUGGAGUCUGGCUCUAUUGCCCAGGCUGGAGUGCCGUGGCACAAUCUCAGCUCACUGCAACUUCUGCCUCUCAGGUUCCAGUGAUCCUACUGCCUCAGCCUCCUAAAUAGCUGGAACUACAGGCGUGCACCACCAUACCCGGCUAAUUUUUGUAUUUUUAGUAGAGACAGGGUUUUGCCAUGUUGACCAGGCUGGUCUUGAACUCCUGACCUCGUGAUCCACCUGCCUCGGCCUCCCAAAGUGCUGGGAUUACAGGCGUGAGCCACCGCACCCAGACCCCUCUUGUCCAUUCUUUUCAUGGAUGAGGAGGCUGAGGCCCAAGCCGGUCAAGGGGGGGCCAGGACUGGGGCUCCGACAUUUUCUCUCCCAGGGGAUUCUCAGGAUCCCUCUCUGGGAACAUGAUCAGUGGCUUUAAGGGGCCAGGGGCUUUCCCUCCAGCCAGCCCUGGACUCACAGGCCCCAGAGAACCUGGAGAAGCCAGCCUCGCAUGGCUGGGAUUUUCAUCGGGAGAAUCCCACUGGCCAUGUACUGGGCUCUCUCCCAGUCCGAGAUUGGGCUCUGGGCUCAGCACUGAGCAGGACCCAAGGAAGUGGCUUAAGUCUUUGUGGCCAGGCGGUGUCUGCUGUAGAAAGCAGUGUGGCAUGUGGCCGGGUGGUACUGUGGCCAGGGAGAGAGGUUGCCUGGGGCUGUCCAGGCUUCAGCCUGGGAAAGGGAGCACCCAGGGAACCAAGACAAGGUGCAGGGCUGGAGGCAGCUUUGGGCUCAGCUGUCGGGGAAGCAUAUUGGCAGGAGGGGCCUCCUGGAUGUCUGGUCAGAGAUGGCCAGGGGGCCAAGGACAUAUGAGAGGCAGCUGAGGGUUGCCGGGCGAGCUGCCUCAUGCCUGUAAUCCCAGCACUUUGGGAGGCUGAGGCGGGCGGAUCACCUGAGGUCGGGAGUUUGAGACCAGCCUGGCCAACAUGGUGAAACCCCGUCUCUACCAAAAUACAAAAAUCAGCCGGGCAUGGUGGCGGGUGCCUGUAAUCCCAGCUAUUCAGGAGGGUGAGGCACGAGAAUCGCUUGAACCCAGGAGGUGGAGGUUGCAAUGAGUCAAGAUCGCGCCACUGCACUCCAGCCUGGGUGACAGAGCCAGACUCUGUCUCAAAAACAAAAAAAAAGAAAAAAGAGAGGCAGCUGAGGGGAGGGACAAGGGUCAUUAGUCCACAUGGGAGCUGGCUGAGGCUGGUGCCCAGGGAUAGGGGAGCUGAGUGGGUGCAGGCCCAGGAAGUGAGCAAUUGCCAGUGACACCGGGUGGAGGGACAGGUGGAGGAGGAGUUGUGAGCUCAGCUGCACAGGACAUUACUCCAAAUGGGGCUGAGGAGCAAGGGGGACCCCCACACUCCCCACAUCCCAAUGCUGAGGCAUGUGGGUAGGGGGCUACCCAGGAGGGCUUCAGGGAAAAAGUGUUCUGAAGGAAGAGGCAGGAGGGUGGUGAAGGGGACAUUUGGGGGCCACCCCUUCUCCAGCUGGCAAAAUUGUCCUGUCCCCGCUGGGUGCGGUGGCUCAUGCCUGUAAUCCCAGCACCUGGGGAGGCUGAAGCGGAAGGAUCACUUGAGGUCAGGAGUUUGAGACCAGCUUGGGCCACACGGUGAAA
rnacentral:lncRNA from 1 species